UGAGUAACGCGUAUGCGACCUGCCCGUUGCAGGGGGAUAAUCGGGAGAAAUCCCGUCUAAUACCGCGUAACGCCGCGGGGCUGCAUGGCCCUGCGGCCAAAGGGAGCGAUUCCGGCAACGGAUGGGCAUGCGUGACAUUAGCUAGUUGGCGGGGCAACGGCCCACCAAGGCGACGAUGUCUAGGGGUUCUGAGAGGAAGGUCCCCCACACUGGUACUGAGACACGGACCAGACUCCUACGGAAGGCAGCAG
rnacentral:rRNA from 1 species